UUUUUUUAUCCAGUAAACUUUAUUUAUAUAUAACAACAGUACAAAUUGUGUCCUUGGCUUGCAAAAUAGGAGUGUUUCAUAUUUACAAUAGGUACACAAUAAUAUAUUAGAAUAACAAAAAAACCCCGUUCUAUUGGAACCUUUUAAAUACUUAAUUUUCUUACAAUUUUUAUUCCACAACAACUGUAAAAACAACAAAACCAGACAACUAUCAUUGCAUUUUCUUAAAAAUAUAUAUAUGUAUAAUAGAGAUUCCAGUGUGUCAAGAAGAGUGGGUUCGGGUAGGAGAGGUUGGGGGGAGAGGCAGCUGGGCUCAAGGUCCCUAGUCUUAGUAUAAAGAGCUUCUCCCUUUCUCCCCAACACACUCAAGAACAUCUGCUCUGAUUGGGGGUCACUAUUUUCCAUUACGUUCUUCACCUGUAAUCCCAAUAAGGAGGGCAAAUAAAGCCAAAGUCAGGGCCAUGACUGAAAUCCAGAAGAUGCCUCCCAUCUUCCUUGAGGCUAGGACAGGAGAAACAGGAUGCGUGGCAGGAAGGAUGGAGCCCGGUCUGAAGGUAGAGCCCCUUUAAGGUGAGGAGAACAAGAUAGGAGUGUCCAGGAAAGGCUGAGAAUCUCCCGUUUCCUGGUUGGGCUGAGGCCCUGUCUGACAAGCAGUGGUCUUGAUCAUCUCCCAGGACCUCCCUAAUACCAAGAGUGAAAAUUUAUCUUUCAUCCAUGGGCAUUGCUGAGCCCCAGAUGCUACAACUUCACUCUUUGGGGAAACCAGGAGAAAGGAAAGCGACAGGGAAGACAGACUUUGGAGUUAUGAAGAGGAUGCCGUCAUUUUCUCAAAGCCUGUUCCUGAGACAAGGCAUCAGUGGGCCUGAACUUCAUCUCUCAAGUCUCCCCAUGGGAUCCGCUCCCACAGCCCCAUGUCUACGAGGUUGCUUUGCAUUUUCUCACCCACAGAGUCCCCCGAGUCUCGGAUCUUUCCUGUCCAUGGCCAGCCCCCAGGGACCUCACCUAUGACACAAUGUGGCUGGGAAAAAGCCUCCCCGAGAGCGGCUGCCGGUUCAGUAUUUACCGAUUGCAGGUUGAUGGGGGCAGGUGUGGCAAUGGAGUGCACCUGGAGAUUUAUCAGCCAGAGCCUUUCACACGUCUUCUAUUUGUUCUGCCCAGACCAUUUUUAGUCCAGCACAUCCAUCUAUUACUUCUGCUUCAAGCUCGGCAGGGCCAGAGGCCUUGACUGCUAUUUCUUGUCCUCAUUUGGCGGAAUUGAAGGAAGGUCAGGAGCUCACGCAGCAGGGGAGUGCCCUCAGAAGAGAUGGGGGCAGUGGAAACGAGAGAAGCUCUCAUUGCUGGAGGAAUGUCCCCAGAAUAAGGGAAAGGAAACAAGCCUUUUCGCUCCAGUUUCUCUCAGCAUCUCUUUGUAGGCUUUUUCCUGACAUUUGGAAACAGGAGUUACGGGAGGAAGGACGGACGAAGGGGAAGAAAGAAGGAAGGGGGGC
rnacentral:lncRNA from 1 species